rnacentral:lncRNA from 1 species
CAAAAAUCCUCCCUGGGACCCCAAAAAACCCCCUGGGACCCCAAAAUCCCUUCCUGGGACCCCAAAAUUCCCCCUGGGACCCCAAAAUCCCUUCCUGGGACCCCAAAAACCCCCCUGGGGCCCCAAAAACCUUCCUGGGACCCCAAAAAUCCUCCCUGGGACCCCAAAAAUCCUCCCUGGGACCCCAAAAUCCCUUCCUGGGACCCAAAAAUCCCCCCUGGGACCCCAAAACCCCCCCUGGGACCCCAAAAACCCCCUGGGACCCCAAAAUCCCCCCUGGGACCCCAAAACCCCGGGGACCCCAAAAUCCCUCCUGGGACCCCAAAAAUCCCCCUAAAAACCCCCCAAAACCCCAAAUAUCCCCCCCGAGGUGGGCUCCGAGUGCACCACGGUUCUCUACAACUUCAUGUGCAACAGCUCCUGCAUGGGGGGCAUGAACCGCCGGCCCAUCCUCACCAUCCUCACCCUCGAGGGGCCGGGGUGAGCCCCCAGAACAACCCCGACAGCUCCGUCACCCCCAAAACACCGGGUCUCUGCACCGAAAUCCGGGGGUUUCUGCACAAAAAUCUGAAUUUUCUGCACAAAAAUCUGAAUUUUCUGCACCGAAAUUGGGGUUUUUUGCCCCAAAAUUUGAAUUUUCUGCACCGGAAUCCGGGGUUUCUGCACCAAAAUCUGAAUUUUCUGCAUCGAAAUCCGGGGUUUCUGCACCGGAAUCCGGGGUUUCUGCACAAAAAUCUGAAUUUUCUGCACCGAAAUUGGGGUUUUUGCCCCAAAAUCUGAAUUUUCUGCGCCAAAAUUGGGGUUUUUUGCCCCAAAAUUUGAAUUUUCUGCAUCAAAAUCUGGGGUUUCUGCACCGAAAUCGGGGGGUUUUGCCCCAAAAUCUGAAUUUUCUGCACCAAAAUUUGAAUUUUCUGCACCGAAUUCUGAAUUUUCUGCACUGAACCCCGGGGUUUCUGCACCAAAAUUGGGGUUUUUUGCCCCAAAAUCUGAAUUUUCUGCACCGAAAUUUGAAUUUUCUGCACCAAAAUCUGAAUUUUCUGCACAAAAAUUUGAAUUUUCUGCACCGAAAUUGGGGUUUUUUGCCCCAAAAUCUGAAUUUUCUGCACCAAAAUUUGAAUUUUCUGCCCCAAAAUCGGAAUUUUCUGCCCCAAAAUCGGAAUUUUCUGCCCCAGAAUUUGGGUUUUUGCCCCAAAAUCGGAAUUUUCUGCUCUUAGAAAUGUGGGAUUUUCCUGAAAUCUGGGCUCGUUCGCUCCUAAAUUUGGGAUUUUUCACC